ACUCAAAUGAAUUGACGGGGGCCCGCACAAGCGGUGGAGCAUGUGGUUUAAUUCGACGCAACGCGAAGAACCUUACCUGGGCUCGAAAUGUACAGGAAUCCGGUGGAAACAUCGGCGCCCAGCAAUGGGCCUGUAUAUAGGUGCUGCAUGGCUGUCGUCAGCUCGUGUCGUGAGAUGUUGGGUUAAGUCCCGCAACGAGCGCAACCCUUACCUCCAGUUGCCAUCAUUCAGUUGGGCACUCUGGCGGAACCGCCUCGGAUAACGGGGAGGAAGGUGGGGAUGACGUCAAGUCCUCAUGGCCUUUAUGUCCAGGGCUACACACGUGCUACAAUGGCCGGUACAAACCGUCGCAAAGCCGCGAGGUGGAGCUAAUCGGAAAAAGCCGGCCUCAGUUCGGAUCGCAGUCUGCAACUCGACUGCGUGAAGCUGGAAUCGCUAGUAAUCGUGGAUCAGAAUGCCACGGUGAAUACGUUCCCGGGCCUUGUACACACCGCCCGU
rnacentral:rRNA from 1 species